ACACGACCGUACCGCAAACCGACACUGGCGCGCGAGAUGAGUAUUCUAAGGCGCUUGAGAGAACUCAGGAGAAGGAACUCGGCAAAUUGACACCGUAACUUCGGAAGAAGGUGUGCCUUUAGUAGGUGAACCAUUUACUUGGGGAGCCCAAUGAGGCUGCAAAAAAUCGGUGGCUGCAACUGUUUAUUAAAAACACAGCACUCUGCUAAGACGAAAGUCGACGUAUAGGGUGUGACGCCUGCCCGGUGCUGGAAGAUUAAAUGAUGGGGUGCAAGCUCUUGAUUGAAGUCCCAGUAAACGGCGGCCGUAACUAUAACGGUCCUAAGGUAGCGAAAUUCCUUGUCGGGUAAGUUCCGACCUGCACGAAUGGCGUAAUGAUGGCCACACUGUCUCCUCCUGAGACUCAGCGAAGUUGAAAUGUUUGUGAUGAUGCAAUCUCCCCGCGGAAAGACGGAAAGACCCCAUGAACCUUUACUGUAGCUUUGUAUUGGACUUUGAACAGAUCUGUGUAGGAUAGGUGGGAGGCUUUGAAGUGUGGUCGCUAGAUCGCAUGGAGCCAACGUUGAAAUACCACCCUGGUGUGUUUGAGGUUCUAACCUAGGUCCAUUAUCUGGAUCGGGGACAGUGCAUGGUAGGCAGUUUGACUGGGGCGGUCUCCUCCCAAAGUGUAACGGAGGAGUUCGAAGGUACGCUAGGUACGGUCGGACAUCGUGCUAAUAGUGCAAUGGCAUAAGCGUGCUUAACUGCGAGACUGACAAGUCGAGCAGAUGCGAAAGCAGGACAUAGUGAUCCGGUGGUUCUGUAUGGAAGGGCCAUCGCUCAACGGAUAAAAGGUACUCUGGGAUAACAGGCUGAUACCGCCCAAGAGUUCAUAUCGACGGCGGUGUUUGGCACCUCGAUGUCGGCUCAUCUCAUCCUGGGGCUGUAGCCGGUCCCAAGGGUAUGGCUGUUCGCCAUUUAAAGAGGUACGUGAGCUGGGUUUAAAACGUCGUGAGACAGUUUGGUCCCUAUCUUCCGUGGGCGCUGCAGAUUUGAGGAAGCCUGCUCCUAGUACGAGAGGACCGGAGUGGACGAACCUCUGGUGUAUCGGUUGUCACGCCAGUGGCAUUGCCGAGUAGCUAAGUUCGGAAGAGAUAACCGCUGAAAGCAUCUAAGCGGGAAACUCGUUUCAAGAUUAGAUCUGCCGGGGCCUUGAGCCCCCUAAAGAGUCGUUCAAGACCAGGACGUUGAUAGGUCAGGUGUGGAAGCGAAAA
rnacentral:rRNA from 1 species